rnacentral:rRNA from 1 species
GAUCAUGGCUCAGGAUGAACGCUAGCGACAGGCUUAACACAUGCAAGUCGAGGGGCAGCACGGGGUAGCAAUACCCCGGUGGCGACCGGCGCACGGGUGAGUAACACGUGUGCAACCAACCCCGUACCGGGAGAUAACCCGCGGAAACGUGGACUAACACCCCAUAACACCUUUCCCCCGCAUGGGGGAGAGUUUAAAAUCCCGAUGGUACGGGACGGGCACGCGCGACAUUAGGUAGUUGGCGGGGUAACGGCCCACCAAGCCGACGAUGU